rnacentral:ncRNA from 1 species
AAAAGACUUAGUCCUAACCUUACAGUUAAUUCUUGCCAAACAUAUACAUGCAAGUAUCCGCGCCCCAGUGUAAAUGCCCUCAACCCCUAACAAUCUUAGGCAAAGGAGCGGGUAUCAGGCACACCCACCAGUCGUAGCCCAAGACGCCUUGCUUAGCCACACCCCCACGGGCACUCAGCAGUAAUUAACAUUAAGCAAUAAGUGUAAACUUGACUUAGUUAUGGCAACCUAGGGUUGGUAAAUCUUGUGCCAGCCACCGCGGUCAUACAAGAAACCCAAAUUAACCGUAACACGGCGUAAAGAGUGGCAUUAUGCUAUCACAACAACUAAGAUUAAAAUGCAACUAAGCCGUCAUAAGCCUAAGAUGCACCUAAAAUCACCAUUAAAACGAUCUUAGCAACCAUGAUCCAUUAAACUCCACGAAAGCUAGGACACAAACUGGGAUUAGAUACCCCACUAUGCCUAGCCCUAAAUCUCAAUACUUACUCCACUAAAGUAUUCGCCCGAGAACUACGAGCACAAACGCUUAAAACUCUAAGGACUUGGCGGUGCCCCAAACCCACCUAGAGGAGCCUGUUCUAUAACCGAUAACCCACGAUACACCCAACCACUUCUUGCCAACGCAGCCUACAUACCGCCGUCCCCAGCUCACCUCCCCUGAGAGGACAACAGUGAGCACAACAGCCCAACCCGCUAGUAAGACAGGUCAAGGUAUAGCCCACGAAGUGGAAGAAAUGGGCUACAUUUUCUAAAAUAGAAAAUUUCACGGAAGGGGGUGUGAAACCUCCCCCAGAAGGCGGAUUUAGCAGUAAAAUGGAACAAUAAAGUCCCUUUUAAGUUGGCCCUGAGGCACGUACAUACCGCCCGUCACCCUCCUCACAAGCUACAAACCCCACAAUAAAUCUAAUACACCUAUCAGCCAAAGAUGAGGUAAGUCGUAACAAGGUAAGUGUACCGGAAGGUGCACUUAGCACCAA